AUUGAACGCUGGCGGCAGGCCUAACACAUGCAAGUCGACCGAGUGGCGGACGGGUGAGUAAUGUCUGGGAAACUGCCCGAUGGAGGGGGAUAACUACUGGAAACGGUAGCUAAUACCGCAUACCAUCGGAUGUGCCCACAUGGGAUUAGAAAGUAGGGGGGGUAACGGCUCACAUAGGCAACGAUCCCUAGCUGGUCUGAGAGUAUGACCAGCGACGCUGGAACUGAGACACGGUCCAGAGUCCUACGGGAGGCAGCAGUGACGAAUAUUGCACAAUGGGCGCAAGACUGAUGCAGCCAUGCCGCGUGUAUGAAGAAGGCCUUCGGGUUGUAAAGUACUUUCAGCGGGGAGGCGUUACUCGCAGAAGAAGCACCGGCUAACUCCGUGCCAGCAGCCGCGGUAAUUC
rnacentral:rRNA from 1 species